rnacentral:rRNA from 1 species
GACGAACGCUGGCGGCGUGCUUAACGCAUGCAAGUCGAACGGAAAGGCCUCUUUCGGGGGGUACUCGAGUGGCGAACGGGUGAGUAACGCGUGAGUAACCUGCCCUUGACUUUGGGAUAACUUCAGGAAACUGGGGCUAAUACCGGAUAGGAGCUCCUGCUGCAUGGUGGGGGUUGGAAAGUUUCGGCGGUUGGGGAUGGACUCGCGGCUUAUCAGCUUGUUGGUGGGGUAGUGGCUUACCAAGGCUUUGACGGGUAGCCGGCCUGAGAGGGUGACCGGCCACAUUGGGACUGAGAUACGGCCCAGACUCCUACGGGAGGCAGCGGUGGGGAAUAUUGCACAAUGGGUGGAAGCCUGAUGCAGCAACGCCGUGUGCGGGAUGACGGCCUUCGGGUUGUAAACCGCUUUCGCUCAUGACGAAGCUUUGUGUGACGGUAGUGGGUAAAGAAGCACCGGCUAACUACGUG